rnacentral:rRNA from 1 species
GACGAACGCUGGCGGCGUGCCUAAUACAUGCAAGUAGAACGCUGAAGCUUGGUGCUUGCACCGAGCGGAUGAGUUGCGAACGGGUGAGUAACGCGUAGGUAACCUGCCUGGUAGCGGGGGAUAACUAUUGGAAACGAUAGCUAAUACCGCAUAAGAGUAGAUGUUGCAUGACCUUUGCUUAAAAGGUGCAAUUGCAUCACUACCAGAUGGACCUGCGUUGUAUUAGCUAGUUGGUGAGGUAACGGCUCACCAAGGCAACGAUACAUAGCCGACCUGAGAGGGUGGUCGGCCCACCUGGGACUGGGACACGGCCCAGACUCCUACGGGAGGCAGCAGUAGGGAAUCUUCGGCAAUGGACGGAAGUCUGACCGAGCAACGCCGCGUGAGUGAAGAAGGUUUUCGGAUCGUAAAGCUCUGUUGUAAGAGAAGAACGAGUGUGAGAGUGGAAAGUUCACACUGUGACGGUAUCUUACCAGAAAGGGACGGCUAACUACGUG